UGGGGAAUUUUCCGCAAUGGGCGAAAGCCUGACGGAGCACUACCGCGUGAGGGAGGAAGGCUUUCGGGUUGGAAACCUCUUUUCUCAAGGAAGAAGAUCUGACGGUACUUGAGGAAUCAGCAUCGGCUAACUCCGUGCCAGAAGGCGCGGUAAUACGGAGGAUGCAAGCGUUAUCCGGAAUGAUUGGGGGUAAAGCGUCUGCAGGUGGCUAUGCAAGUCUGCUGUUAAAGAGUGGAGCUCAACUCCAUACGGGCAGUGGAAACUGCGUAACUAGAGUACGUUCGGGGUAGAGGGAAUUCCUGGUGUAGCGGUGAAAUGCGUAGAUAUCAGGAAGAACACCGGUGGCGAAAGCGCUCUACUAGGCCGUAACUGACACUGAGAGACGAAAGCUAAGGGAGCGAAUGGGAUUAGAUACCCCUGUAGUCC
rnacentral:rRNA from 1 species